rnacentral:lncRNA from 1 species
CCGAGAGCCCUGCGCUGCCGCUUGCGGUCUGGGAUCCCCUCUCCUUCCCUGGGAUGGGAGACGUUGACACCCGCCGCGGGUCCCUGGCUGCGCUGAGCGCUCUCCUGCCUGCGCUGGGUUGCAGAAGCUCUGCGUACCUGGCUUCAGCUACUCCUCAUGAUCCUGGGCCCCAGCUCAAGAGCCCCUCUUUGGUAGCUGCGAGGUGAGUGAGCUCUUGCUAUUCCUCUCCUCUCCCAGAGGGCCGCCAGCCAGGAUCCGGGAGAGAGCAAGCAGGAGCCCUAAAGAACUCGAAGCCUGUGGGACCAUGGGAGUCUGGAACCAGGAGCCAGAGUAAGAAAAAGCCUCGGCCUCAGGCCUCCAGAUGGAGGAGCCGAGGUUGGCAAACACCCUGCUAGCAGCAGUGACAAGAUGCUGUAUGCAAUAAUGAGACUGCAGCUUUGGUGUGACCACAACAGCCUGUGAGU